rnacentral:rRNA from 1 species
GACGUAGGGGGCGAGCGUUGUCCGGAUUUACUGGGCGUAAAGGGCGCGUAGGCGGUGUGUCAAGUCAGGCGUGAAAGCCCCGGGCUCAACCUGGGAACAGCGCUUGAGACUGGCACGCUCGAGUUCGGGAGAGGAUGGUGGAAUUCCCAGUGUAGAGGUGAAAUUCGUAGAUAUUGGGAAGAACACCGAUGGCGAAGGCAGCCAUCUGGACCGACACUGACGCUGAGGCGCGAAAGCGUGGGGAGCAAACAGG